UAACUUGAGAGUUUGAUCCUGGCUCAGGACGAACGCUGGCGGCAUGCCUAACACAUGCAAGUCGAACGAGAAAGUUCCUUCGGGAGCAAUUAAAGUGGCGCACGGGUGAGUAACGCGUAGACAAUCUGCCCUUCAGUCUGGGACAACUUUUCGAAAGGAGAGCUAAUACCGGAUGACAAUGUAACACAUAAGUGUCACAUUUGAAAGCUUUAUGUGCUGAAGGAGGGGUCUGCGUCCCAUUAGCUAGUUGGUAAGGUAAAGGCUUACCAAGGCAACGAUGGGUAGCGGGUUUGAGAGGACGAUCCGCCACACUGGAACUGAGACACGGUCCAGACUCCUACGGGAGGCAGCAGUGGGGAAUAUUGCACAAUGGAGGCAACUCUGAUGCAGCAAUGUCGCGUGAGUGAAGAAGGCCCUUGGGUCGUAAAGCUCUUUUAUGGGGGAAGAUGAUGACGGUACCCCAAGAAUAAGCACCGGCUAACUAUGUGCCAGCAGCCGCGGUAAUACAUAGGGUGCGAGCGUUGUUCGGAAUUACUGGGCGUAAAGGGCGCGCAGGCGGAAUAGUAAGUCGGAGGUGAAAGCCCGGGGCUCAACCCCGGAGGGUCUUUCGAAACUGCUAAUCUAGAGAGGGUCAGGGGCCGGCAGAAUUCCUGGUGUAGAGGUGAAAUUCGUAGAUAUCAGGAGG
rnacentral:rRNA from 1 species